rnacentral:lncRNA from 1 species
UUGUGCGUAAUGACUCGUGAAUCUGAUGAAGCCAAAGUGGUCGUUAAAGGAAUGAAAGGAACAGCCAAUUAAGUUUGUGGUUCAACAAUUAAUGACUCGGAUUCCAACUUUUUUAGUUGCAAAAUGAGAUGGAAAUGAUCUGUUAAUUGCAAUUUAGAUUUGUUGAAUCCCUACAUAAUAGACACUUUAGACCAAGCUUAUAUCAUAAAGGUUAUCAUCUGCUUCAGAUAUACAGCAUUCUCACUCAAAUUAGCAAUUUGCGUGUUCACCUAAGUCAGUGCAAAGAAGUACCUAAAAGCAUUCCUCCCACCCACCCAUGCAUAUCCCCAGUGAGGAAUUUGCCUGGUGCAUCUGACUCCAAUUUAUCAUUUACCAGCCAAUGGAUCAUGUCCACCUACUGCCUUAAGAAACUAUUUCAUUGAACCCUUUUUGUGUGUUACAUUUCCACUAAGAUUUUAGUCAAUGCAGAGAAAGGGAAGUGCAAACUAGUCUUUAAUAUGCUCGUUAGUUAGGAUUUACCUCAUAACCAUCCAAAUCAUAUGUGAGUGUGUGACUGCACAUAGAGUGUAUAUGUAAUGUGGAUCAUAAUGUGCAACCACUGCUUGAAUACAGUUCUGCAACUAAUAUGCACAGUGAAGGAGAAGUUUGCAUAAGUUACUCAUACUUCGUGUGGUCUUUUCCACCGAGAGUCCUCUAAGUCUCGAGCUUCUCAUGUCUUGUAACUCUGUUAGGUGACAAUUGAUAAAGAUCAGAGACUUUAUCAGAAUUCAGAUUAGAUGCACUGUCCAUAUAUAAUAGCUACAUAUUCGACAUCAACAAAUUAAGAAAGUUGGUGUCUGAUUUCAUCCACUAAAACCCAAGUGACAUAGAGAGGAUAGGUUUGCAUUAGAAAAACUUAUAUCAGAAGUAGUGUCCACAUGUGUAUGCAAUCCAAACAUUAGGCUUCUAAAUCCAUAUAGAUUCAGUUGAACUUAAUUGGUUAGUUUCGUAGUACAGUUUUGAACUGAUGAUAGACUACUAGCUAUGUAGUGCAAAUUAAAGGGUGACUAGGACUUCUUUCCACCUCUGAUGGCUAGGACAAUGCAAGUUUUCCAAGGAUAAUACUAUACAGAUCCGUAGAGUGUAGGCAUUGUAGAGGCUAUUGGUUUUAAGAACCAAGCAUCAAAUGGACAAAGUUUUCUUGCUCAAGCAAAAAGAGCAUGAGAUGAUUCAAAAACAAAUAUCAAGUGAUUAAAAUCUUUUUGACCCGUAUGCUAGCAACGUUGAAUAUGCAGAAGAAAUCGUAUUGGUUGGAGGGAGAAUGGACAAAAUAAAAUUGUUUGUAAUCUUUUUGACCCAAAGACUUACCAGGGACCAUUGAUCCAUUAUAAGAGGAUUAUUCAUGUCAUUGCUAUUCCAGAAGCCAUUUAACAAUGUUUUAGAACAGAGGAGAAGGGUGGAUUUAGAUCUAUAAUAUAUAGAUUUUGCCCAUAAGGGUACAUCUUAACGAAAAAGUAGACAUAUGGUUCAAGUUUAACCAGUAAAAACAAAACACAAAUCAUGCGUAAGCCAUUAUCUAAACUUUAAUAUUGAUUUCAUUUUUUAGUUCACCCUAGAAAAAGACAAUUGGGACACUUGCUAUUUUUCGGGGUGAUAUAUCAUAGCACUAUGAAGCACAAAGAGGCGCACAUUAAUAUUUUGGAAAUAUUGUGCGUAAAGUUCUGCACUGACCAAAUUUUGAGUUCUGAUAAUGCAUAAAUUUUGCUUACAGUAUGUAAUUUUGUCUAUAUUAUAUAUUUGUGUCUAUGAAAUUAAACUAACAAAAAUGAAUAAGCUCUUCCAUUACCUUUUAUUGUUGGUUGGUCGGUCGGUCGAUGAGUUAUCAUCAUCGUGAUGAUCUUAUACUUGAGGAGUUCCCGUGUACUUUGCGAUUAUCAUGGCACACAACAAUUUCCUGAAACAUUAGUUAUUAAUGAUGAAAUGAACCUGUACAUAUGCACGUAAUCUAAGAUAAAAAUCGUGCAUUCGGUUUUACUUUUGUCUAAUUGCAUAAAGUAUGUUUAGUACUUCAAAUCUGUUUCAUGAGUGAUUCUAGAAAGAUGAUAUUAAUUUUGCAGAUAGUAAAGGAACACACCAGUUUUGACCUGCUACUAUUAGUGAACCUUUCUUGUUUCUAAAUCAAAGGUCUACUUGAUGUCUUGAUAGUAGCUUUUGAUAAUAUUAACUAUAUGACACUUUUGAUGCUCUCAGGCCAAGUUCGAAAGAAGAACUGGAUAACCCUAACCUGCCUAAUAUUGGGCAUCAUUACCCGAAUUAGUUGGAUAAUCCAGACACAGUGGAGAAUGACCACACUGUAUAUAAAAGUGCUUUCAUCAUGUUUUCUUCUAAACGAGCCCUUUUCCCCUUUUAAUACUACCCUUGUUUCCUUGGUAUCCACUAUCAGAUUAGACUCCUGAUUUUUCAACAGUGCGCUUUCUUCUUUUUUUUUUUCCUUUCCUCUUCCCACUUCCUUGUUCCAAAUCAACUGCAAUAGUUCUCUGUUUGUUUCUCUAAUCAAGAGUCCACUCCAGCAACCCUUUAGGAGUUCAUACUAACUUUUGCUCUUAACUCGUAUUGCUAGAGGGAGGAUGUGAUAAAAAAAAGCUUGUGCCAACCAAAUAAUCAAGAUAAUGUAGUUUAGAAACUAGUAGUUCUCCAUUCCAAUGCUGCUGAGUGCUGACAAACUUGACUAGCAUCCUCAUCUGAAACCGAACUCAUACACACACCAUUUCGCCAUCAUAAUCAAGUAAUCAUGGAAUUCUAAAGACCUAGCAAACACAAUAUAGAGAGCUUUUGGGAUUCUCAGUUUCUCACUACUAAGAAACAUGACAUUUGGUAAUCAAACAAAAUAAAAGUUAACAACAUAAACACUAAAAAGCAGCAGCAUAGUGCAACAUGAACCACUUAAUACAUACAUUUCCAGCUCCACUAUCUCUCUACUUCUCUAGCCGUGCGGCGAAAGCACGUCGGCGACCUAUACAAGUAUACAACCCCAUCCCUACAUUAGUCUUCUCAUCAAGUUAAAGCCCCAAUAGCUCCAUCCACCCAACAUUGCUAAAGCCAUAAAGCUCAUAUCUUUUCUAGCAAGAGAGAAACUUGACAACACUUUCUCUACUACUCUAAUACCUCGUUUGGUUUGCGGAAAGCAAAGUACGUACGUAGUUCAUUCCUCUCUCCUAUGAGAAGAGAAAGUGAAUGGGAAUGAAAUUUGAAGAGAAGUUUUCAUUUCGAUGUUUGGUAACCCAAGAAAAGUCAUUGAGAAAGUUCUUAAAAAAAUAUAAUAAAAUAUUAUGAUGUGAGUAAUAAAUGCAAGAAAAAAAAAAAAAAGUGGUUCCAUUGGAUUUUGGAAGGAGUCACUUCCCCCCAUAUUUUCCUUUCAAUCAGGAAAGUCUUUCUUUUCUUUUGGCUUUGCCACACAGGAAAAAAAACAAUUUUUCUAUCAUGCUGGUUGCCUACUUUCUGCGAAAUAAAUAAGGAGCAUCUCCAGCAGUAUUGCUAAAUCAAUUUUUUUUUUGAAAUUUAUCAACUUUUCGGAUGAAUAGGAGCUCCAACAGUAUACUUAAAUGGUUGUUAAAUUUAAGGAUUGCUAAACGAAAUUGAUAAAUUUGUCAAUUGAGCCAUGAAUUGCUAAAGGAAUAUAUAUAUUUUCCCUCUUUUUUUUUCUCCACGUGUCAGUUUAUAAUUCGUUAAAAAUAUUAUUUAACUUACAUAUAGCAAUAACUGCUGUAACCAAAUUCUUAUAUUAAUAGCUAAAUUUCAUAAUUAUUGUUAAAUUUAACUAUUGUUUUAGUUACACCGCUGGAGAUGCUCUAAGCCUAUGCAGUAAAAGCUUCGAUUAAUGUUUCUUAUUUUCAAUUUACCUGUGUAUAAAAUAUAUAUAAAAAUAAUAAUUAAAGACUGAGUCGAACGAGUCACGAACCUGGUUAAAAAAUCCGAGUCGUUUAAUUAAGCCGCACACGAAAAAAUCAGAGAAGCAAAAAAAUGGAGGAAGAGAGGAGGAGGCAGCCCUGGCCUCACUACUGGGGCACCACACCG